CAUCAACAGUUUUAAUACUUAUGCAGAAAACGAAACAAUUUCAUAUACAAUGAAUAAUGGAUACACCAUUGCCUAAACUGUGUGAAGCGUGUACGAGAUAAUGAUUUGAAUUUGUUAUCAAAUAAUUAUUAGUCACUGUUUAAAAAGGUUUUAAGUGAUCACAAAAAAACGAAAUGCACGAUGCCUACAUUCUUUAUCCACCGGAAAAGAUUCCGGUUCAAAUCGAGUCGAUGGCUGGCUUUGAAAAUAAGCUCAUCCUCGGAACUAGACAGGGACAUCUGCUGAUGUACUCUUUCGAGCCGAAUCCGGAUAGCAACAAGCUGGACCUCCAGCUGCUGCAGUAUGAUAAAAAUUUUAGCAAAAAGCCCAUCACUCAAAUAGAAGCGAUUCCGGAAUAUAAGUUGAUUUUCAGCCUAUCGGAUGGUGUGGUUAACGUGAACGACUACAGCCGGCAUGGGUUUCCACUGAUCCACACAGCCCAGAAAACCAAGGGGGCAACCGUAUUCGCAUUAGAUAUUAAGAAAUCUAAAUCACUCACUGGAGAGUUGGCUUUAGUAUGUCGAUUGUGUGUAGCGGUCAAGCGGAAGCUGCAGUGCUACUACUGGAAGCAGAACGAAUUGCUUGAGUUUGGAAACGACAUCGAUUUAAAUGACGUUCCGAAAACGAUUGCCUGGAAUAAUAGCUGGAUCUGCGUGGGAUUCAAAACGGAAUACGUGAUCUAUGAUAUUUCAGGAGAACAACCUAAGAAAAUCGAUUUAUUUCCCACGAGCUCAUCGAAAUCAAUUGAACCAUGCAUCUCUUUGAUCGAAGAUGGAGUUUUCGCCGUAGCCAAGGAUGAAUAUUUGGUAACUGUGUACACCGAAAAGUAUAAAACUGACGGUAAAGAAAAUAGCAGUGGUUUGGUGAAACCUGAUGCCUCGAUGUUGACUACUAAAGACACCCGGAAUUUGAAAUCUUUGAUCUGGAGUGAACCUUUCCAAGGACUAGUUUGGGACGAACCAUACAUCAUCGGAUUGGUGACAGAUGGUGUAGAAGUUAGGGUUUUCGAUAACAUUGAGAUGUCUGAUAAGGGAUCGUUGAUCCAAACGAUUCCCCAAUUGCAAAAAGCGCGAUUCUUGGCACGUGGGAAACAAGGACUGCUCUAUGCCGCAUCCGUUUCACAUUUGUGGUGCAUCCAAGCGGUAGAAAUUUCCAAACAACGAGAGCAUCUUUUGCAGCAAGAAAAUUUCCAUCUUGCUUUACAAUUGACGAAUAUUUCUGAGGAAAGCGCAGAAUUCAAAGCGACUAAAAUAGACGAAAUUCAAACUCGUCAUGCAUACAACUUGUUUGUUAAUAAACACUUUCGCGAGUCGAUGAAAGAGUUUUCCAAACUCAACACGGAUCCUAUUGAUGUGAUUCGAUUGUUCCCAGAUCUCUUACCAGAUAGUGGUAAAAACAAGCUAAGUUCUUAUUCCAAAAAAACAGCUCCUGAACUCGAUGAAAAAGAUCUAGAGAAUGGUAUUCUCGCAUUGAUCGAUUAUUUGACGGAAAUUCGAUAUAGCCUGCGCCAAGAUUUGGUCAACAAAACUGACUCCAAGGUUUCUUCUGGAAAGAAUAUUUCAGCCCUUCUUUCAAUUAUUGAUACAACGUUACUAAAAUGUUACCUUCAAACUAGUGAUUCAAUGGUGGCAUCUGUAUUGCGGAUGAACUAUUGCUAUCUAGAAGAAUCUGAGCGUGUCUUAAAAAAACAUGACAAAUAUGUUGAAUUGAUUAUCCUUUACCAAACCAAAGGCCAACAUAAACGUGCUCUACAAUUGCUGCAAUCGCAAACCGACUGCCCUGGAUCUCCCUUGUAUGGACACGAUAGGACAAUACAGUACCUGCAACAUCUAGGCAUCGAAGAUAAGCAACUAAUUUUUGAGUUCUCCGGUUGGGUGCUAGAGAAACAUCCAGACGAUGGAUUGAAAAUAUUUAUCGAAGACAUUCCAGAAGUCAAAAAUCUUCCACGUGCAGAGGUUUUGGAUUUUUUGUUGAAGGAUCAUAAAAAACUUGUGGUGCGCUAUCUGGAACACAUUAUCAACGUUUGGGAUGAACAAAAAGCACUUUUCCACAACAUUUUGAUUCAACAGUACCGCGAAAAACUGAUUUCUUUGAAAAAUGAUCCUGAUAUUGAGAACGAUAUACAAAAGAGAACUGCUCGGGAUACAGUAAAUGCCAAGUUGCUUGCGUUUCUUAGAAAAUCUAAAUAUUACCAUGCUGAAAAGGUGCUCGGUGAUUUCCCUUACACAGAUUUAUUUGAAGCUCGAGCAAUUAUUCUAGGACGUUUAGACAAACACGAGAAAGUGCUAGCGAUUUUUGUACAAAUACUUGGUGACUUUGACAAAGCUAUCGAAUACUGUGACCAAACGUAUGACAGUUAUGAUCCCAAAAGCUGCGAUGUGUAUGUUACAUUGAUUGAAACAAUUCUUACUCCCCCCACGGUCCCCCCCUACAGUGAUGCCCAAUUUCAUCCACGUUGUUUAAACCCUGAUAUCGAAACUGUGCUGGGUAUUCUAGAGAAAAAUGCUAAGAAAAUUAAUCCUUACGCUGUGCUACCGAUUCUGCCAGAUAACAUUCCAUUGAGCAGCAUCAAAACAUUCCUUGAGAUAGCACUGAAUCAUCACUUGGAGCGGAAACGUAAAUGUCAGAUCCUCAAGGGCCUUUACUAUGCCGAGCAUCUGCAGACGCACGAACAGAAAAUUCACUAUGAAUCGAAGCAGUUUCUGGUAGAGGAACACAGCGUGUGUCCAGUAUGCAAGAAAAAGUUUAGCUACCAGAGCGCAUUUGUGCGAACGGCCGAGGGCAGCAUUGUGCAUUUCUCCUGUCAGGAUAAAGUUUGAAGCUUGAAUUUUCAGGAAUGAAUCAUUCUACCGGAAAAUUGAAGUUAAUUUGACCUGUGUCAGAGGAUGACAAAUGGAUCGAAACGUCGAUGGAAGGAGUACAACGAAAUAAAGUAUGUGGAUUUGAUCUCGGCACCCCGUGGUAAAUUCAGUUUGGCAACGAUCU